rnacentral:lncRNA from 1 species
UGUCCUUUUUCUUUUUUCUUGCAUGCCUAUUCAUUUCUCUAGUCUUCUUUAUUUUAUAUUAAGUGAAUAUUUACUAAUACAACAUCUUAAUUUUGUUAAUGAUUUUUCAUGCUUUCAAAUUUUAUUACUUUAGUGAUUACUAUAAAUUAUCAGAUCAUACAUCUGAUUUAUCGUCCUAGUUUUAGUAAGAUUAAAAAAUGUUUCUCAUGUAAUUCCCUUCAGCCUUUUAAAUGUUAUUUAUAUAAACAAUAUGUUAAAAACCUAGCAACAUAAUAUUAUAAUUAUUUUCCAUAAUCUUAUGUCUUUUAGAGAAACUCAAUAGAGGACAGCAAGUGAUAAAUCUUUAUAUUUCUAGGGUAUUUGUAACCUCCUUAUUUACAAUUUCUAGUUCUCUUCUUUCUCAAGAUCUAAGAGCUUGGGCUUCCAUAGAAUUUUCCUCCAUCGUUCUCACUUGUUUGACUGUUGUCAAAUAUAUUACAUUUCUUAUACCACAUACCUAAUCAUACAGUUAUGAGCAUUUUAGCCAAAUUAUCUUAGUUAAGAGGAAAAAUCUAAUAGACUUAAUUAGUAAGUAAUUACUUCCUCUCCUAUUGAUAUCUAAGAUCUCUUGUUGUAAACCUAAAGGAUUUGAUUAGUCCUUAGGAGACAGAGCUGGUGCCUAUUGAGCAAUAGUUUGGUUUUGUUUGGUUGUUUGUUCUAAUUUGGGAAUUCUUUUCUCCAUUUUUGGAAGAUAAUUUUGCUGGAUAUAAUUUUAGUUGGCAGUUUGUUUUGGCUUUGCUUUUUUCUAACAUUGAGUAUAUCCUGUUAUAAAUGCAUUGAUUCUGCUGACAAUUCAGCUGACUCUUCCUUGAAUCCUCUGGUAUAAUGGUCUUUUUCUUUGGUGCUUUCGGGAUUUCCUGUCUUUGACAUUCAGGAUUUGCACGUGUUUAUCUGGAUAUGGAUCCUUUGUGACAUAUCGGUUUACCAUAGUUACAAUUAUUACAUUUUUUGAGUGUGUCAGUGUCUGUCACCAAACUUGGGAAGUUAUUAGCCAUCAUGCUUUGGGACAUUUUUCUAGUCUCUUCUAUCACCUCUUGCCUUGUGCUUUAUGUAUAUGUUAAUGUGCUCAACAGUAUACCAUAUGCUCUGAGUCUGUGUUCACUUUUUAUUUUUCUCCCUGUCCUUUAGAAUGUAUAUAUUUUUUGAUAACUUCAAGUUCACUCAUUCUUAUAUUGGUUCAUAUCUGUUCUUGAGCCCUGUGGUGAAAUAAGUUAUUGAAGCUCCUUUUCAGCUGUAGAAUUUCCCUUUGUUUAUAUUCUUUGCCUCAUUGGUAUUUUUUGAUGAUUAAACAUUAUUGAAUAACUUUAGGAUUUCCUUUAGUUGAGUAUCUUUUUAAUAUCUUCUUUGAUUUCUUCACUUGCUAAGUCUUAAUAUCUGAACCUCUGUUGUCUGUUCUUCUGCUAUGUAUGGAUUCUAGCUCAUUUCUUACCGUAUAUUAUGAUGUCUUCUUAACAACUGGGCACUUUAAAUAGAUAAUAGAGCAAAUCUAGUUCCUAAUCUUCCUCAUUCACUCCCAGACUGACUUCCUGGUUGUUUAUUUGCUUACAGCUUAGCAGAGUUAAAGCAGUAAGGUCUGUUGCUUUGCCAUGGUGCCCUUCACAUCAUUUCCUCAAAGACAUAGCCAUGAGCUGAGUGGCAGGUUGUGUCUUGACUCCCCUCAUUAGCUCAUUGCCUGAUAUGUUAGGUUCCUACCUGAUAUAUCUCUCUUGUCACCUCUCGCAGUGUUGUUAGCAUUAACACAAUUCCAAAUUGGGGGAUUUUGUUUUGUUCUUGUUUGGAGGGUUGGUUGGUUGGUUGGUUUUUUUUUUUUCUUUUAACCCCCAAAAUCUGUUAAGAUUAAAGCCAGCCCUUGUAGGAAAACAUGCCUUAGCUCUUUCUCUAUUUCAUCAGAACCAUCAGCCCACUCAAAAUUGCUUACC